rnacentral:rRNA from 1 species
CCUACGGGGGGCAGCAGUGGGGAAUAUUGCGCAAUGGGCGAAAGCCUGACGCAGCGACGCCGCGUGAGGGAUGAAGGUCUUCGGAACGUAAACCUCUGUCAGCAGGGAAGAACGGUCACGGGGCUAAGCAGCAGUGAAUGGACGGUACCGGCAAAGGAAGCACCGGCGAACUCCGUGCCAGCAGCCGCGGUAAUACGGAGGGUGCGAGCGUUAAUCGGAAUUACUGGGCGUAAAGCGCUCGUAGGCGGUAUGUCAAGUCAAGGGUGAAAUCCCCGCGCUCCACGUGGGAACUGCCUUUGAACCUGGCAACCUGGAGUGUGUUAGAGGCUAGUGGCCUUCCAGUUG